rnacentral:misc_RNA from 1 species
UUGGGCGGUCUCGUAACGGUUGGCGCCCUUUUCCCCUCCCGCGUCCUGUUUCUUUCUCUCUCCCUGUGCCCCUCCCCCCCCCGCGUCUACACUCCCUUUGCCGUCCCCUUGACGCCUUUUCAAUCAUAGACGUCCGCCCCCUUUGACCAGAGCGCAUUCACGCGUUCCGGGUAACGCUAUCGUGCGGAGCAAGUGCUCGCUUUGCUUAUGUGCACAUAUACGUACAUACAUCUAACUAUCUCUCUUUCGUCCGCCCGCGUGACCUUGUUCCCUGCCGCUGCUGCCGCUAUCUCUAUUAUUCUGCCUUCUAUUUUUUUUUUGUAUUUUUGUGUCUGCGUUGUCUCAGCGACAAGAUCGGCCCUACAUCGGCCGGAUCGCACGCUGCGCCUGCUCACCUCUACACGCCCCUCACCCCUACACACCACGUCCGUCUCUCCCCUCCAUGUCCCAGUCGCAUCCGACCUAUGCAUGUAUUAAAGUGCUGCUUUGCUCUUCUUUUCAUGCUCUUCUCGUCCUUUGACUCCUCUUCUUCGUCUUUCUCAACCUCAAGAAAAAAGAGGAACAGAUAAGCUCAUCGCGAGUGAGCAGAACAGACAAAAAUGGAGCUCAUGCUGCUCGGUUUCCUCUACGCCUUCGGGGCGGCGUGUGUGGUGAACUACCUCAUUAUGUUUGUGCGCAUCCGGACGACGGAGAUGUACGUGCAGAGGCGGAAGAGGGUCGUCGACGCUUACGAAAAACUGUACGGGCCUUUGGGGAACGGUGCGGUGGAGGAGAGGGAGGGUGAGGACCGCGCGCCUGAGACCGAUGCGUCAGCUGACCUGCUGUCCAAGGAGCCGUUGCGCGUCGCCUUCCUCCACCCGGACCUCGGCAUCGGUGGCGCGGAGCGGCUGAUCAUCGAUGCCGCUGUUGGACUCCAGAAGCGCCAAUCGAUCCGCCUCGUCGAGUUGAUCAUCGUCACGAAUCACCACGACCGCAGUCGAGCCUUCGAGGAGACGACGGAUGGUACGGUGCGCAUUGUGGUGCGGGGCAGCGCGCUGCCCGCCAGUAUCUUCGGCCGCGCCAGGGUGCUGUGCGCCACGAUUCGCAUGGGCUUCGCCGCCUUCGCGACAUGCUGGAGCUUUCCGAACACAGACUGCUUCGUUGUAGACCAGGUGGCGGCGGCGAUGCCGGUCCUUUACUUUUUCGCCGGCAGAACACCGAUACUCUUCUACAGCCACUUCCCUGACCAGCUCUGUGACCCGAACCGCAACCCAGACAGGACCUUCAAAAGCGCCGGCUCUGGUUUGGCUCCGUGGCACGAGACCUAUCGCGGCUUCUUCGACCAGGUGGAGGCCUCUUCCAUGAAGUUUGCAACGAACAUCGUGUGCAACUCCAAGUUCUCGCGUCAGGUGUGCAUCGACACGUUCCCGACGCUGGCCGACAAAAUCCACGAGGCCACCGAUAUCUUUUACCCGCCGGUGGAGAUGAAGGUACGCGAGGUGACAGAGGACGCCCUGUCCCAGUCUGCAGCGUUGCGGGAGCUGAAACAGGCAGUGAGCGGUGCUGUCACCUUCGUCUCCAUUAACCGCUACGAGCGUAAGAAAAAUAUCGAGCUGGCCAUCGAGGCCUUCGCGCUCCUGCUGUCGACGGGCGAGUUCAAGGGUGCAGAGGGCAAAAAGCCGCUGAUGCUGAUCAUCGCCGGCGGCUACGACCCCCGGUUGGCGGAGAACGUGCAGUACGCCGACGAGCUUGCCGCGCUUGCGACAACGAAGCUGCGCAUUCCAGCUUCCCAGGUGCGCUACCUAAAGAACAUUAGCGACGAUGAAAAGGCCGUGCUGCUGUCUGAGAUGCGGGCACUCGUGUACACGCCCUCUCGUGAACACUUCGGCAUUGUGCCGGUGGAGGCCAUGGCGUACUCGAAGCCGGUUGUCGCGAUCGCCGAUGGCGGCCCGUGCGAGAGCGUCGGCAGCGUGGAGCUGGAAGACCCGUCAAAGUGCGGCGGACUCUUGUCGUCGCCGGAGCCGGCGGCGUUUGCGGAGAAGAUGGCGCGCUUUGCGCGCGACCCGGUCUACGCCGCCAAGGUUGGUGCACAAGGUCGCGCCCGCGUCCUCGAGAAGUUCAGCAUGGAGGCGUUCAGCAUGCAGCUAGUGACGCGCCUGGUGCGCCUGCGGAGUGAGGCGGACAAGAAGUUGUUGGCUGAGGGCAUCGAGCUUGCCAAGAAAGAGGCCGCCUCAAAGGCAGGUAAAUCUUCACAAAAGGCAAAGAGCGACUGAGGCGAUCAGGAAGUGGAGAAGGCGCUGAUGACGCACGCGUUUUGCGCUCAAAGCGGCGUCGGUGCUUCCUGUCCUCUUCGAGCGCACUCCCUCACUCUCCAUUCUUGUGCUCAAGGUUGAUCGCCGUGCGACCCGGAGCGGAUGGAGGCUGUGCCCGUCUUUUCUUCCUCGCCAACAUGACGUCUCAGCCUUUAGUGCGUGUGCGUGUUUUGCCCGGUCUUGGCUGCUCAUCAUUUGCGUAUGCGAGUGUGAUUGUUAGUACCUGUGCUCAUUGCGCGCUCGGUCUUGUGUUCGUUUUAUCGCCUGCAAAUCUUCCAAGUCAACUGGAUAAUAGUACCACGAAAAG